rnacentral:rRNA from 1 species
GAUGAACGCUGGCGGCGUGCCUAAUACAUGCAAGUCGAGCGAACAGACGAGGAGCUUGCUCCUCUGACGUUAGCGGCGGACGGGUGAGUAACACGUGGAUAACCUACCUAUAAGACUGGGAUAACUUCGGGAAACCGGAGCUAAUACCGGAUAAUAUAUUGAACCGCAUGGUUCAAUAGUGAAAGACGGUUUUGCUGUCACUUAUAGAUGGAUCCGCGCCGCAUUAGCUAGUUGGUAAGGUAACAGCUUACCAAGGGAACGAUGCGUAGCCGACGUGAGAGAGUGAUCGGCCACACUGGAGCUGAGACACGGUCCAGACUCCUACGGGAGGCAGCAGUAGGGAAUGUGCCGCAAUGGGGGAAAGCCUGACGGAGCAACGCCGCGUGAGUGAUGAAGGUCUUCGGAUCGUAAAACUCUGUUAUUAGGGAAGAACAAAUGUGUAAGUAAAUGUGGACGUCUUGACGGUACCUAAUCAGAAAGCCACGGCUAACUACGUG